AUGCCGCAGAAGGACCGCCCGUCCGCUGCCGCAGGUGUUGCGCCUAUCCCCGUCAUCGACCUCGGCCGCCUAUCCAGGCCUGACACAGAUGGUGGUGCCGUCGAGGAGGCAGCGAAACUCCGGUGGGCGCUCGAGACCUGGGGCUUCUUCAUGAUUACUAACCAUGCUAUCGACGCCUCUCUUAUGGAUGCGAUGAUGAAUGCAUCCAAGGAGUUCUUUGGGCAGCCUACUGAAGAGAAGCAAAAAUACAACAACAUAAUUGAUGGCAAGCGUUUUCGUCUUGAAGGGUACAGAAGUGAGCUGCUGCAAUCUGAAGGCCAGACCCUCGAUUGGUCCUGCCGUUUAUCUCUGCAAGUAGAACCGGAAGAGGAGAGAAGUUUCCACCUUUGGCCCAAGUAUCCCAAAUCUUUGAUGCAAAUCAUUUCUACAGGGAUGUGCUACUUCAGUACGCGUCAAGAACCAAGAUAA
rnacentral:rRNA from 1 species